rnacentral:misc_RNA from 1 species
CGGACCGGCUGCUGGAAACGUACAUCUUUCCAGAAGCGUUGCGGACACUCGUGGAUAUACGGGAAGUUCAUGAGGAGAGCCACAUGUUUGCCGUAAACACCAGCUACCCCGGCGUAACACCAGGUGCGACUCUCAGCGAGGCCUACCUUGCUCGAUGCAAGCGUGUCGCUGAGGCUCGACUGACGCUUGGUGGCUAUCGCCUCGGCUACCUUCUGAAUACGCUGCUGUCGAGUAUCCAUGUCGACGAGGCCACACUGGAGGCGUACCGCGCUGCACGUCCGAAGCGAGGUGCGUAAACGGCGGGUGGCCAGCAGCCGCUACGGAUGGGAGGCCACUUGCACUGAUGCGGACUGUGUGCCUGCACCUGCCCAUGCACGGGCAUAGGUGAGCGCCGCGGAAAGCGAAGAAGGGCUGGCGUCCUAUUCCUUUUGCUGUGUGUGCAUGAACUCGGGCUAUGGAUCGGCAGCGGGGGACGAGAGCGAGGAACUGCCUUGUCGGCAGUAUGUGUCCGCUCUACUUCUGUGGCAUGCGCAGGUCCUCACCUCUUUUGUCUUCGUCUCUGUGCACGAAUCCCUGAUGACAGGGAGGGGGCGCACGCCUCAGCGCGUCGUAUCCUCAGGGCCCCGCACACCGACUCCGCCGGGAAGCCAGGCAGCCUCCCAGCCCCCUAUCCAUUGCCCAUGCCGAGCUACUUCCGGCGGUGACACGGUCACGCGCCCACGAAGUGGGGUGGGGGUGGAGGUGAGAGCGAUGUGCUGCUGCUGAUGUCUGCGGUGGGAGACUGGAUGGCGCUGCGUCGGAGCGGGCUGCGGCAGCGAGCACGUCUGCGCCGCCCACAUGAUGGACGAGGCGUGAGCGUGGCUGGAGGAUAUCCCACCCGGCGCUGGCACUGCCUCCUGGUGUGGGGAGCCUGCGCCACGGCGAGGGGGAUGCGCCAGGAGGGGUGGCGGCCGGCGGAGCGGGUGGUUUGCAGAGCUGGAGGCAGCGGCCGUGCUUGUGUGCCUGGGUGGGCGCAGCGCUGUGACGCGUGUGCCCACCGCUGCCUCGUCCCGCGCGGUGUGACCUGUGGCAUGUGACGGGGAGAGGUGGGGGCGCAUCGCGGAGGUGGAGUCGUGUUGCGCGGCAGAGGAUGGAGGUGGUGGGGAAAAGCUGAUCGCGGGAGUCGAACGAAGCAGAACAGCAGCAGAAGAGUACCUGGAAGGCACAGCAGUGCCGUGGCCUCAACAACUGUGGUUACGGCUGCACUUGGGCAGACGCAUGAUUAUGAGUUGCGCUAACCGUUGUGCUGUUCACGUACGCUCAUGUGCUUCGCAGGUAGCGUACGUCCGCUCCCUCCGACUGGCUGGCCGCCUCCCAUCGUCUUUCCCGCGAAGGGAGCGAGCGCCAGGUGGGCUGCGUUGUGCAUCCUGUAAGCUCCCUGACGCGAGGUGGCGUUGCCGGGAGGGAGCGUUUGCGCUGUCUCUCGCUAAGUCGUUUCCCUGGCCUGCCACUCUCUCUCUUUCGCCUUCCGUUUGCUUUCUUGUGGCUGCUGCCCGGCGUGUUUGCGUCUCUGUAG